rnacentral:rRNA from 1 species
GGAGUCUAGCGUGUGCGCGAGUCACUGGGCAAUUGUUUAAACCCAAAGGCGAAAUGAAAGUGAAUACGUGGCUUCUCUUCACGGGGAAGCUUUCGUAUAGGGAGGAUGGGCGAGACUUGCGCUCGCCUCGCACUCCCGGGGCGUCCGUUUCUCAUUGCGAGAAAGGGCGCACCUAGAGCGUACACGCUGGGACCCGAAAGAUGGUGAACUAUGCCUGGUCAGGACGAAGUCAGGGGAAACCCUGAUGGAGGUCCGUAGCGAUUCUGACGUGCAAAUCGAUCGUCGGAACUGGGUAUAGGGGCGAAAGACUAAUCGAACCAUCUAGUAGCUGGUUCCCUCCGAAGUUUCCCUCAGGAUAGCUGGCUCUCGGAGGUGUGAGUUUCAUCCGGUAAAGCGAAUGAUUAGAGGCAUUGGGGACGAAACGUCCUCAACCUAUUCUCAAACUUUAAAUGGGUGAGAUCUCCGGCUUUAUUCUUAAACUUGAAGCCGCGAGACACUUAACUUUUUAUGAAUCUAGAGUGCCAAGUGGGCCAUUUUUGGUAAGCAGAACUGGCGUUGUGGGAUGAACCAAACGCAGAGUUAAAGCGCCUAAAUAGACGCUUAUGAGAUACCAUGAAAGGCGUUGGUAACUUAAGACAGCAGGACGGUGGCCAUGGAA